AGCCCUAUGGAUGCUGCUCUCUCUUUUAAUUCUGUAAUUAUUGGCUUGUAUUCUGCUCCGUUGGUAGAAUUGCCACUGUAAUGAUAUGCCACUACUUGUUUCCAGCGAGUUGUGUUUCCAGCCAACAUAAACACACAAGCAUGUGUUGCUACUCCUGUGUGACCUGGCAAAGUGACAUCACCAUAUAGUUUGCCUGUCAGCAUGUGCAGCUCAACACUUGGAGUGAUUGCCAUUUCAUCCAAGGACAGCACACACUCCCUUUCAAGGGUUCUGAUCGCUGGCAAGGGAAUCUGCAAUUCCUGUAGGGUCUUGUAACCAGUUGGACCGGAUGCAAAGCGAAUUUUUAAUGCCUUCUUAAUUGUUUCAUUGCUCCAUUUCAUACCUUUUGUGACCCAGGUAACUGGCUGAUGGCUCACUGGAAUGCUGACUGGCUGCUGACUGACUUGCUGCAUGCUGACUGGGUAGUGUCACCUGUCCCUGUCUCUCCUCUCUAGCAAUGUCCUCUAUUUCUUCACUGUCACUUUCCCUUCUCUGAGUGUCCUCAUUCUUUUUUUCCUCAACCUUUGAAACUGAUAGAGGCAGAAUACAUUGUAUUGCUAAUUUUAAAUAUUGAA